rnacentral:rRNA from 1 species
AGAGUUUGAUCAUGGCUCAGAUUGAACGCUGGCGGCAGGCCUAACACAUGCAAGUCGAGCGGUAGAGAGAAGCUUGCUUCUCUUGAGAGCGGCGGACGGGUGAGUAAUGCCUAGGAAUCUGCCUGGUAGUGGGGGAUAACGUUCGGAAACGGACGCUAAUACCGCAUACGUCCUACGGGAGAAAGCAGGGGACCUUCGGGCCUUGGGCUAUCAGAUGCGCCUAGGUCGGAUUAGCUAGUUGGUGGGGUAAUGGCUCACCAAGGCGACGAUCCGUAACUGGUCUGAGAGGAUGAUCAGUCACACUGGAACUGAGACACGGUCCAGACUCCUACGGGAGGCAGCAGUGGGGAAUAUUGGACAAUGGGCGAAAGCCUGAUCCAGCCAUGCCGCGUGUGUGAAGAAGGUCUUCGGAUUGUAAAGCACUUUAAGUUGGGAGGAAGGGUUGUAGAUUAAUACUCUGCAAUUUUGACGUUACCGACAGAAUAAGCACCGGCUAACUCUGUGCCAGCAGCCGCGGUAAUACAGAGGGUGCAAGCGUUAAUCGGAAUUACUGGGCGUAAAGCGCGCGUAGGUGGUUAGUUAAGUUGGAUGUGAAAUCCCCGGGCUCAACCUGGGAACUGCAUUCAAAACUGACUGACUAGAGUAUGGUAGAGGGUGGUGGAAUUUCCUGUGUAGCGGUGAAAUGCGUAGAUAUAGGAAGGAACACCAGUGGCGAAGGCGACCACCUGGACUGAUACUGACACUGAGGUGCGAAAGCGUGGGGAGCAAACAGGAUUAGAUACCCUGGUAGUCCACGCCGUAAACGAUGUCAACUAGCCGUUGGGAGCCUUGAGCUCUUAGUGGCGCAGCUAACGCAUUAAGUUGACCGCCUGGGGAGUACGGCCGCAAGGUUAAAACUCAAAUGAAUUGACGG